CUUUUUAAAUAGUCCCACAACAAUAUCAUAUGAGUUGGCAUCCUCAACUAUUUUAGUUGCACAAGAACCAAUCAGGAGUUGGCAGUCUCAAGUAUUUUAGUUGCACAAGAACAAAUCAGGACUUUUUUUCAUUUUUCAUUUUUCAUUUUUCAUUUUUCAGUUGCACAACCUCUCAUGUCAGUUGGCUGCAUCUAGAUGGUAGUUGCAUGCUCCAGAAAUUAUAGUUGGGAGGGACAUUUUUAUAUAUGAUAUCUAACUGGUACACUCUACACUACAUAGUUGGCUAGUAAACAUUGCACAGGAAUGCAAACAUAGUUGGAUUUAGACACAAAGGAUGAACAUUAGUCUAUUUUUAAAAUUUCAUUUUUCAGUUGCACACGCUCAUACGUUAGUUGGCUGCAUUUGUAGAAUAGUUGCACGCUCUAGAUCAUUUAGUUGGCAGGCCAUUUUUUUGCCAUGAUAUCUAAACGGGACACUGUGUCUGCAUCACACAGUUACGACAGGUUUUUUCCGGUGUGGUUUUCUCCGCCAAGUGUUCGUCCAGUUUUUUAGUAGAUCACAUGGUGUUUUCUAGUGGACUUUUAUGUGCAUGUCUCGCCUCCUUAUGCUUUCUCCAGCUCACAUGUGUGUCUUUGGGUUUCUUGCAGUGAAAAUGGUUGUAGAAGGGAGAUAAUGGUGGCAACGGAGGAGAGGUAAAUUUUGCGUUUUUUUCUUCAUGAUAUGUGUGUUUAGGUUUUCAUUAUAGUUUUCAAAAAAGGCGUUUUCAUAUAGAUUUGGUGUGGGCAGGCAUUGCGUGAGAGAACCACCACAUAGGAGUCUGCGCAACCGUGGUCUUCUUUCCCCAUCUUCGGCGAACUUUCUCGCUCAACCCCUACCUCAAUCCUUAAUUAUCCAUGUCAUGGAGCACAUCGACCACUAGGCAGUUGUUCAUCGACUACUAGACAGUUGGUCGGAAUAUAAAAAGUUGGAUAUCUCACUCGCGGUGGUAGUUAGAGUAGUGAAAAUUCCACAUCCGACUAUUAGGCAAUUGGCAGGUGCAGCAGACGAAGUUGCACAUCAUUUGCUAGAUAGGCGGCCGGGACAGCUGAUGAAGUUGUACAACAACUGCUAAACAGUUGGCCAGGACAGCAGACGAAGUUGCACAUUGCACAGCCAGAGGCUGUUGAGGUGGUGAAAACUGCACAUCCACGGAGUCGGGGGAACGUUGUACAUUGACCUACUAGAACGUUGGUUGCGGCAGCAGAUGAAGUUGCAUAUCGUCUGGUAGUCAGUUGGCGCAGAUAGCGCAUGAAGUUGCACAUCUCACUAACAUGGAUAAUUAGGGAGGUAAAAAAUGCACAUCCAUGGGGUAGGGAAAAAGUUGCACAUCGACUACUAGGCAGUUGGCCGGGCAGCAGCCGAAGUUGCACACCAACUACUAGGCAGUUGGACGGGCAGUAGUCGAAGUUGCACAUCGUCUGCUAGGCAGGUGGAACGGGCAUCGGAUGAAGUUGCACAUCAUUUGUUAGUCAGUUGGCACGAACAACAGAUGUUAUUGCACAUCAUUUGUUAGCCAAUUGGCGCCGACAGCAAAUGAAGUUGCACAUCUCACUGGGCAGGGGUAAUUAGGGUGGUGAAAAAUGCAUGUCCACGUGGUAGAGAUAAGAUGCAGAUCUACUGCUAGAUAGUUGUCCGAGCGGUAAAUGAAGUUGCAUAUCAUCUGCUAGACAAGUGGACGGGGCAGCAGGUGAAGUUUCUCAUCACAUGAAGUUGAUUCAUCUAACACUAAAAUUACACCAUGCAGUACUAUAGUUUGGUUGUGGUAGCACCAAAUUUAGUUUUAAAAAAAGUUGCAUCCCAUAGUAUAAAAGUUGCACCAUGUAGUACCAACAGUUGGCUGUGAAAAAAGUUCAUCGAAACCUAUAUAAAUUAAAUCUAGUUUUAAAGAUCUCAUCGCGAGGAUUACAACGAUGAAAACGGAUUUUAAUUUUAAUAUGUGGUUUGAAAGUUAUAGCUUUUGAAUUUUUUGAAAUGCAAUUAAUUGGCUUUUUGCUUUACUAAUGCAGAUAGGAAGAAGUGGCGCCAGCGUGAAGGAGGAAAUAGAAGACGUGUCGGUGGCCGAUGCUUUUUUAGUUUUGUCUCACGUGGGGACCAGGUUUCUUAAUUAGGACAUGGGACAUAAAUAUUCCUAAUAUGGCUGGCUGCCGAGGAUCGCUAGCGAGCGCACGGCUGCUCGCUAGACGUAUCCCUAGAAAAUUCCCUUCUCUGUCUUCCAUCUCCCUCGCCUGGCUCUGCUACUCUCCACAGGCCCCCAACGCCGACCAUGCCGCCGCCGAGGCCGCCUUCCACCACCUCCGCGGCUCCCACCCGGAGCCCCGUGUGCUGCGCCUCGCCUCAUCACCCGCGACGCCAACUACCCCCCUCUCCCCCACGAGCUCCGCGCCAUGGCCGCUGUCCUCCUCCGCAAGAUCCUCUCUCCACGGCCUCCUCUGACUCGUCCACCUCCGAGCUCCGUGUCAUGGCCGCUGUCCUCCUCCGCAAGCUCCUCUCCCCCGAAGGCCUCUUCCAACUCUGGCCCCUCCUCUCCCCCGAGGGUCAGGCCGCACUCAAGUCAAACCUCGUCAACGCAUCCGGCAGUGCCGCAACAACCUUGACGGAGCUCGCUGCUGCUGCUCACUCUUAUCUCCACCGGGCUGGAGUGUAGGAGGUUGCCGCCACCGGGCUGGAUCCAUCUCUCCUUUUUUAUUGAAUCAAAACACACAUCCAGAUUCAUCCCUGGCUUGCUUGCAGGAGAACGUAAGUUGUUUUUUCUACUACCGCUCAAGUUGCACAGGCACUUGUAUCAGUACGCAUUUCUGAUACAGCUUAAUCUUAUCUCUGUAGCACACUCGCUAGAAGGCCGUUGAUUUGGAUGAAAUUGGGUGUCCUACAUUCUGCUACUUUUGUGCUAUGCUUGUUGCCUGUGUAUGCUUCAGGUAUAGAAAAAUCCUAUCCACUUUCAUGAAGAUACAAAGACUAGAUGACGUUUUUGUUUAAGCCUUGUUUAGGUUGAUCUAUUUUUGCUAUUCAUAUUUUUUGUUGGCAUCUACAGCAGUUGUAGUUGCACACAUAAUAGUUCUUAGUUGGAUAUGACCAUCAAGCAUUUACACAACACAACGAUACUAAAUUGGCUAGAUGAAAUCUAGCUCUCACAUUGAUUACUUCAAUUUAGCUAGACGCGGGUCAUUGUAAGCUCGACCAACUACUAUUUGUAAACUAGAAGCAUGCAUACUCUCAUCCGCAUAUGUACAGUACUUUCAGCAUCUUGCUCAAGGAGCUAUGGUGAUUAGGAUUAGUGGUGGGUUUGUACAGCGAUUAGGGUUUGAGUUGGAUUUUCACGGCUGGUUGUUCUAAUUUCGCAACUAUUGGUAUGGUUCAGGAUCCUAUCUUGAUCCUUCUAUUUUUGCCUAGACUACAACUGUCUUUUUAAACAUGAUACUCUCUCUAGAGCUUCAUUACAUUAUGUACCUCUUUUUUCUUGUAAAUGCAUUCGUGUGGUUUCUCUGUUUUCUCGUAAGUUCCAUGCAUAUAAGUAACUAGUUGGCUAGUUUGUUGUAAUAGUUGCACAGGAACGCAAACGUAGUUGGAUGACACAUAUACAUAUCUCAGUUGGCUAGCCAACUUAUGAAGUUGCACACUAAGGGCUAACCAGUUGCACAAUCGAUGGUAUUUAGAUGGAUGCACUGUGUAAACUAUGUUCAAGCAGUGUGUGUGGUUUUUUUGGUUGCACACUCAUGUGUGCCCUGUUGGCAAGGGUACACGUUCGUAUAGGAGUACAGAUCCUAGCUGCCUUAGCCGCACUUAUACAGCUGCACAGGGAAAGGCUACCUAGUUGCACGGUUGACGGCUAGGUAGGUUUGGCUCCAGUGCCUAAAUCAAGUUCACGCGGUCUGUAUACUGAUUUUUUUUGGUUGCACGCUCAUUUGUGCCCAGUUGGCCAUACAGUGCAUCAAGUUGCACACAAUUUUUUGCUUGGUAUGUGUGCUUUGGAAAAUCAUCAUAAGUUGCUUUACCCCGUGGCAUUUUUUAUAUCAUUUUUUUUGCUAUUUUUUUCUUGUAUACAUUUGGUUGCUUUGACUAAUUUGUUCGUUUGCAUUUUUCACAGGCCAAAAAUGGUCGUAGAAGGAGAUGCGGCUCCUAGUGAAGGAGAGGUAUCCUCAACCUUUAUAGAUGCAUCCAGAACUUUUAUAGUUGCACAACAAUCAAUUAAGAAUUGGUAUCCUCAACUUUUCAAAUAGUUGCACAACAGUAUCAUACGAGUUGGCAUCCUCAACUUCCAUAGUUGCACCAGAACCAUUUCAGAGUUGGCAGUCUCAACCUUUUAAAUAGUCCCACAACAAUAUCAUAUGAGUUGGCAUCCUCAACUAUUUUAGUUGCACAAGAACCAAUCAGGAGUUGGCAGUCUCAAGUAUUUUAGUUGCACAAGAACCAAUCAGGACAUUUUUUUCAUUUUUCAUUUUUCAGUUGCACAACCUCUCAUGUCAGUUGGCUGCAUCUAGAUGGUAGUUGCAUGCUCCAGAAAUUAUAGUUGGGGGGGACAUUUUUUUAUAUGAUAUCUAACUGGUACACUCUACACUACAUAGUUGGCUAGUAAACAUUGCACAGGAAUGCAAACAUAGUUGGAUUUAGACACAAAGGAUGAACAUUAGUCUAUUUUUAAAAUUUCAUUUUUCAGUUGCACACGCUCAUAAGUUAGUUGGCUACAUUUGUAGAAUAGUUGCACGCUCUAGAUCAUUUAGUUGGCAGGCCAUUUUUUUGCCAUGAUAUCUAAACGGGACAUUGUGUCUGCAUCACACAGUUACGACAGGUUUUUUCCGGUGUGGUUUUCUCCGCCAAGUGUUCGUCCAGUUUUUUAGUAGAUCACGUGGUGUUUUCUAGUGGACUUUUAUGUGCAUGUCUCGCCUCCUUAUGCUUUCUCCAGCUCACAUGUGUGUCCUUGGGUUUCUUGCAGUGAAUAUGGUGAAGUGAAAAUGGUUGUAGAAGGGAGAUAAUGGUGGCAACGGAGGAGAGGUAAAUUUUGCGUUUUUUUCUUCAUGAUAUGUGUGUUUAGGUUUUCAUUAUAGUUUUCAAAAAAGGCGUUUUCAUAUAGAUUUGGUGUGGGCAGGCAUUGCGUGAGAGAACCACCACAUAGGAGUCUGCGCAACCGUGGUCUUCUUUCCCCAUCUUUGGCAAACUUUCUCGCUCAACCCCUACCUCAAUCCUUAAUUAUCCAUGUCAUGGAGCACAUCGACCACUAGGCAGUUGUUCAUCGACUGCUAGACAGUUGGUCGGGAUAUAAAAACUUGGAUAUCUCACUCGCGGUGGUACUUAGAGUAGUGAAAAUUCCACAUCCGACUAUUAGGCAAUUGGCAGGUGUAGCAGACGAAGUUGCACAUUAUCUGCUAGAUAGGCGGUCGGGACAGCUGAUGAAGUUGUACAACAACUGCUAAACAGUUGGCCAGGACAGCAGACGAAGUUGCACAUUGCACAGCCAGAGGCUAUUGAGGUGGUGAAAACUGCACAUCCACGGAGUCGGGGGAAUGUUGUACAUUGACCUACUAGAACAUUGGUUGCGGCAGCAGAUGAAGUUGCAUAUCGUCUGGUAGUCAGUUGGCGCAGAUAGCGCAUGAAGUUGCACAUCUCACUAACAUGGAUAAUUAGGGAGGUGAAAAUGCACAUCCAUGGGGUAGGGAAAAAGUUGCACAUCGACUACUAGGCAGUUGGCCGGGCAGCAGCCGAAGUUGCACAUCAACUACUAGGCAGUUGGCCGGGCAGUAGUCGAAGUUGCACAUUGUCUGCUAGGCAGGUGGAACGGGCAUCGGAUGAAGUUGCACAUCAUUUGUUAGUCAGUUGGCACGAACAACAGAUGUUAUUGCACAUAAUUUGUUAGCCAAUUGGCGCCGACAGCAAAUGAAGUUGCACAUCUCAGGGGUAAUUAGGGUGGUGAAAAAUGCAUGUCCAUGUGGUAGAGAUAAGGUGCGGAUCUACUGCUAGACAGUUGUCCGAGCGGUAAAUGAAGUUGCAUAUCAUCUGCUAGACAGGUGGACGGGGCAGCAGGUGAAGUUGCUCAUCACUUGAAGUUGAUUCAUCUAACACUAGAAUUACACCAUGCAGUACUAUAGUUUGGUUGUGGUAGCACCAAAUUUAGUUUUAAAAAAAGUUGCAUCCCAUAGUAUAAAAGUUGCACCAUGUAGUACCAACAGUUGGCUGUGAAAAAAGUUCAUCGAAACCUAUAUAAAUUAGGUCUAGUUUUAAAGAUCUCAUUGCGAGGAUUACAACGGUGAAAACGGAUUUUAAUUUCAAUAUGUGGUUUGAAAGUUAUAGCUUUUUGAAUUUUUUGAAAUGCAAUUAAUUGGCUUUUUGCUUUACUAAUGCAGAUAGGAAGAAGUGGCGCCAGCGUGAAGGAGGAAAUAGAAGACGUGUCGAUGGCCGAUGCUUUUUUAGUUUUGUCUCAUGUGGGGACCAGGUUUCUUAUUUAGGACAUGGGGCAUAAAUAUUCCUAAUAUGGCUGGCUGGCGAGGAUCGCUAGCGAGCGCACGGCUGCUCGCUAGACGUAUCCUAAAGUAAUUUGGCAUCCAUCCGGGUUAAUUUUACACUAUUACUACAUUCGAAAAUAAAGGAUUUCAAUACAAAUCUGAGGUCAGUAUUUUAGGGCUAAAAAUUCUGACGCUCUCAGGUACGUCAAAUCCAGAUCAAACGUAUGGCAAUUAAUCGCUGUAGCAUGAUAAAUUUUCUGUUGAUUUUUUACGUUACAUGGCCAUUUUCACUGUAGAACAUGGCAAAUCCUAUGCACAAAGCAUGGUAAUUUUAUCUGUUUUUGCAUGGCAAAUCUGGCCGUUAUUUUUAGCGCUUAAAAUCUGACUUCAGAUUUUUAACAUUUCCGAAAAUAAAAGUAGUACACUAUUACUAAUAGCCUACUUGGUAACCUUUGGGAAGAGGAACGGGCGUUUGUGCCAGGGAGUUCAUCAACGGAGUAGUUGUGGGAAAUAGAAUUUACUCCCAUUCCCUUAUUUGAUAUGCGAUGGGAAUUAGUUCGCGAUAAAGGCCUACCCACAAAUUAACAGUGUCCCCAUGGGAAGAAAUUGAUGAUUGGCACUCUCAGCUCCCAUUCCCUUCCUUCUUAAACUCCCGAUCCCUCUUAACAAUCAGUGGGCUUUUAUUCUCCUUACUAAGGGUUUUUCUUCGAGGGGGGUUACGGGUAUGUGUUCCUAUCAUUACACCAAAAAUAUUUGCCUUGCAUCUGGUUUUGCGAGUGACACCAAAGUUAGCAUUACAAUAACAAAAUAAAUAGGCACUCUAUCUUAUUUUUGCCAAAUAGCGGACUAAGUAACAAGCACAGAAAACGUGCACCAAAAUUUUGUCAGCCAUAUUGUGCGCACUAAUCAGCGAGAUGCAAAGUUAGGGUAAAAAAACAUCAACCAAUAUUUUGACCCAAAUGGUAAGUGCCACACGUGUGGCAUGAAGCAAUUCGGUCCUGACAUUUUUUCAACUAAAGUUGUCAUCCAAAAAGAAAAGAAAAAUAAAAAAACUGAAACUUGCCAUCCGAAAAAAAAUUGUCAUGUUUAACAAUUAAAGUUGUCAUCCUCGCGUCACUGAACUUGCCAUAAAAAAUAUUCGGAAUUGCCAUGUAUUCGUGCCACACAUGUGACACUUUUCAGGGGGUCCUAUUUUGAUGACUAAUCAGAAUUUUCACAUCAACUAAUAAGAAAGUUUGACCGACUGAAAUAUUCGGUCACCAGUCUCACGACGACUAAGCGUUAACUCUGCAUGAUGGACGUGCCCCAACAGUAUUCGGUCG
rnacentral:lncRNA from 1 species